GGUGAGGUCGCAUAGUGGUCUAGUGCGCGCGCUUGGAGAGCGCGAGUAGCCGCAAGGCUACCGAGGGUUCGAAUCCCUCCCUCACCGCCA
rnacentral:tRNA from 1 species